GAGCAAAGUCGUCUAAUUUUAAUGGCGUCACAUUUGCAUUGAAGGUUGGCAAUAAUAAUAAACGAUUCUCCGUGCCUAUCAAAACCUCAAUUUUGAACAAGGCCUCGAACAAGUCGAUACAUU